GUGGGGAAUAUUGCACAAUGGGCGAAAGCCUGAUGCAGCAACGCCGCGUGAGGGACGACGGCCUUCGGGUUGUAAACCUCUUUUAGUAGGGAAGAAGCGAAAGUGACGGUACCUGCAGAAAAAGCACCGGCUAACUACGUGCCAGCAGCCGCGGUAAUACGUAGGGUGCAAGCGUUAUCCGGAAUUAUUGGGCGUAAAGAGCUCGUAGGCGGUUUGUCACGUCUGCUGUGAAAACUGGAGGCUCAACCUCCAGCCUGCAGUGGGUACGGGCAGACUAGAGUGCGGUAGGGGAGAUUGGAAUUCCUGGUGUAGCGGUGGAAUGCGCAGAUAUCAGGAGGAACACCGAUGGCGAAGGCAGAUCUCUGGGCCGUAACUGACGCUGAGGAGCGAAAGCAUGGGGAGCGAACAGGAUUAGAAACCCUUGUAGUCC
rnacentral:rRNA from 1 species